UACGACGGGGGCUAGCGUUGCUCGGAAUGACUGGGCGUAAAGGGCGCGUAGGCGGCUUGCACCGUCAGAUGUGAAAUUCCUGGGCUUAACCUGGGGGCUGCAUUUGAUACGUGUGGGCUUGAGUGGGGAAGAGGGUCGUGGAAUUCCCAGUGUAGAGGUGAAAUUCGUAGAUAUUGGGAAGAACACCGGUGGCGAAGGCGGCGACCUGGUCCUUGACUGACGCUGAGGCGCGAAAGCGUGGGGAGCAAACAGG
rnacentral:rRNA from 1 species